GCCUAGACCGAUGUCACCACUUAUCUGCAGUUCUCCUGUGAUGUUUCCAGGGUACAUGAUUAAGACUCAUUUAACAUUCCAGGAAUGUUCUGCUGAUGAAUAAUCACUGAGCUGGAGUCAAGGGAAGAAGCUUUAGAUACUAACUGACCCUGUGACCAUGAGCAAGUCACUUCCCUUCUCUGUGCCUCAAUUUCCUCACUUAUAAAGUGAAAACAAAGGGCCAAGUGAGGGUGAAAGGAUCCCCCUACCCUGGAGAUCUGUGAUUCUAUAACAUAUAGGCAGGAAAGACUUGAUAACACACUCAGGGUCUAUGUGGGCUGUUCUGAAGGCAUCUGGCCACCCAUCACCUUUUUAUGGCCAAGUACCAGGUUGGUUCUGUGGUUCCAAUUACAGGAACAGAACAGGUUCUGUUUUCCCCCAAUUACAGGAAAUUGGCCUUGCCUCUCUGGGUGCACCUGAUGAAUACAUUGAAAAGCUCGCCACAAUUUACUGGUUUACUGUGGAGUUUGGGCUCUGCAAACAAGGAGACUCCAUAAAGGCAUAUGGUGCUGGGCUCCUGUCAUCCUUUGGUGAAUUACAGUACUGCUUAUCAGAGAAGCCAAAGCUUCUCCCCCUGGAGCUGGAGAAGACAGCCAUCCAAAAUUACACUGUCACGGAGUUCCAGCCCCUGUAUUACGUGGCGGAGAGUUUUAAUGAUGCCAAGGAGAAAGUAAGGAACUUUGCUGCCACAAUACCUCGGCCCUUCUCAGUUCGCUACGACCCAUACACCCAAAGGAUUGAGGUCUUGGACAAUACCCAGCAGCUUAAGAUUUUGGCUGAUUCCAUUAACAGUGAAAUUGGAAUCCUGUGCAGUGCCCUCCAGAAAAUAAAGUAAAGCCAUGGACAGAAUGUGGUCUGUCAGCUGUGAAUCUGUUGAUGGAGAUCCAACUGUUUCUUUCAUCAGAAAAAGUCCGAAAAGCA
rnacentral:sRNA from 1 species